UCAUCCGGGAACACUACUCCUAUGUGAGGAGCUUCUCUCUGAGUUCUUUCAGGGAAAGCACUCACUUUCUUUCAGGGAAAGACAUUAAGCUGCAGGUUUAUGCUGAUUGUCUGUCUAUGGCUUUGCCCCAAAUCAAACUUUCAACAGCGUGUUACAGUAUAAUCCUAGUGGAAGUAAUUACUUGUUUGCUAGCAACACUGGGAAGAAGGGGAGGGGGUGGACGGGCACUGCAGGAAGCCUGAGGAAGGCUGUAGAGAAAGAGGAAGAGUAAGGAAGAGAACAAAAGCUUAGUGAGUACCUACUGUAUUCCAUACGUGGUGUUAAGUCCUUUACAUAUAUCAUAUUGUUUAGUCUUUAUCCUUGCCCUGAGAAAUAGAGGUCUCCAUUUUAUGGGGCAACAAGGCAAACGUGUCCAGUGAGUGGUUAGCUUUCUAUUGCCUGAAGGUUCUCCUGUCCCCCAUUCACUUUCUAUUACAGAGAAGAAAUAGAAAUGCAGCUGGAGUAGAGGAGGAAGGAGGGGGAAGGGAAGAAGAGGAAAAAGAAACACUUAAAAAAAGAUAAAUGUGAGAGAGCUCUGAAACUCUCCCAGUGGUUAUUCGACGUUAACUCUACCUGAAGUAAGGGUAACUCCGAGAAGGACUGGAAAUUAGGCACACCUUGACCCAUCUUCCAGUUUCUGGGUCACACUGGGUCAGCUUUGCCAUUUCAGGAGGAGCCUAGUUUUUGGAGGCUAUUUGGUAAAUUCUCAACUUAAUGCUCAUCCCGCCCGGAGACAUUGCUACGGAAUAGUAAAAAUUUGCCCAAAGUUUGGUAAGUCUCUGCAGAAUACAUUUGAGAAGAGAACAUUUAUUUGCUCAGUAGGGUGAUCCAGUUUCCAGGUUAUCCUUGUAAGAGGGAGGACUGGGUUUCUUUGCAGAAAUAACUCUCUCUCUUUUUUUCUUUAAUUUUUAAAAAAUUUACUUUGAGAGGGAGGUGCAGAGAGAGAGGGGGACAGAGGGUGCUGGGCUCCAGCUCAUGAAGAACUGUAAGAUCAUGACCUGAGCUGAAGUCAGACACUUAACCAACUGAGUCACUGCAAUAUUUCUUUAAGUGUUAAAUUCACUUGGGGUUGCUAUGGACUGAAUAUUUGUGUCUCCCCCUACCCCCAUUCACAUGCUGAAAUCUUAACCCCCAAAGUAAUGGUAUUAGGAGGUGGGGCUUUUGGGGGGCACCUGGGUGGCUCAAGUAGGUUAAGUGUUCGACUUCGGCUCAGGUCAUGAUCUCGCCAUCUGUGGGUUUGGGCCCUGCGUUGGGCUCUGUGCUGGCAGCUCGGAGCCUGUUUCGAUUUUCUAUGUCUCCCCCUCUCUCUGUCCACCCCCACCCCCCGCCCGGCUCAUGCACUGGCUUGCUCUCUCUUGCAAAACAUUAAAAAAAAUUUUUUAAAGGAAAAAAAAAGGAGGUGGGGCUUUGGGGAAGUGAAUGAGACAUGAAGGCAGAAGCUUCAUGAGUGGGGUAGAGCUCCCUUGCACCCUCUACCUUGUGAGGACACAGUGAGAAGCCAGCAGUCCGCAAUCCAGAAGAGGGGCCGCGCCCGACACUGAAACUGCCGGUGACUUGAUCUUGGACUUGCAGCCUCCUCGAUGGUAAGGAACAGAUCUCUGUUGUGUAAGCCGCCCAAUCUACCAUAAUUGGUUGCAGCAGCCCAACAGACUACGACAGACACACUGCAUGUCAUAUUAUGGAAAAUAGUCUUUCUUAAGCACAGUAAUCGAGUAUUUCAGGACUUUAUGUAAGUAAAGUCGGAUCAUAGCUUCGUAUCAGAAGAACAACUCUUGUUUUUAUAGAUUUAUGAUAUAGACAUUAAGCUGCAGGUAUUAUGAAUGUGAAAACUGGGAACAAAGAUUGAAUAAAGCUUUUGCUUAUUUUUUCCCUAUGCCUGAGGAGUCAUUCCAUUUUCUGGGUCAGAGGCUACGAGGCCGUCGAGAGCACCACCUUGAACAUGACAAAAGUCCUAAGCCCCUGCUCUGAAGGGGAUUGUGGCUCAUGGGCCAUUACCAUGGAGAAGUGAGGCUGCAAAAUGCUGAAGGGGGCACCUCUGUUCCAGAGAAAGGGAAAGAAGAAAACUGCGUGACAAAAAUACGUGGUGGGAAGUAGCACGGGGAAUCUUUGUCGAUUUUCUCUGACCACUUUGAGAAUUGUUUUUCCUUGAAAAGAAGAGAAAAGAAAAGACAACCUACCCAAAAUAUUAAUGCUAUUGUUAGAGUUCUACGAUAAUCCAAAACAGAGUCAUUUUGAAAGAAAAGGUGGCCCACUGUGCUGAAGUCAAGCAGGCCGCGCAAAGCUCUGACUUCAAAGCCAUUCCUUGAUAAAACAUCAAAACGGCCCAGGGUGGGCCAGCUGUUAUCUGGAAUUCUACAGAUAAUUCACUGAAACUCGGUGCUCACUAGCCGCAGAGAGUUUCCACAGCAAGGCCGUUCCCAGGGUCCUGCUUGAUUUUGUUGCCAGUCUCCUGUGUUUUGUUAGGCAGGGAGAGGUUUGGACCGCCUCUCAAUAAAACUCCGUGUUAGCGCACCGGAGAAACUUGACUCCUGCUUGGCCUCAUAGAGGCCGGAAAUGUGAACUGUGCCCUCCCUGGCCCUGAAGGUGACAUCGUCUUGCUCCUCCUUCUCCACCUGGAAGCACCAGUGACUGCUUUCCCCUGGGCCUUGGUUCGCUUUGGAAGAGCGGUGGCCUGCUUUCCACCAUGAAUAUCAGAAAUAUUGCCUUUUCAACUCUGUGCUGUAAAAUGUGAUGGUACUGCAUCUUCAUGAGGCACAGAGUUCCCCACUUUGGGUUUGCCAGUCCUGUGGGUUCAUUCUGGAGCCCCUCCCUCAUCUCCCAGUCUUCAAACGCCAGCCCAUCUAAUCCCUUUGCUGGAAUCACGCCGAUGGUCUCACCGAUCCUUCCCCCUUGCAUUCUUCCACUUCCCACCUCCAUGCAUUGCCCGAUCAGCAAGCCACAUUUCCCUUUAAAUGUGAAGACUCACCUGAAAGCCCACCACCUCUUCCGAGAAGCCUCCCCUGAUUAAGUGGGGAUGAAGGAGCUUUCGAAGCAUGGCUGACAGACUCCCGAUAAAUGAGAACACACACACACACACACACACACACACACACACAGAAACUCACAAGAAGAGCAAAUUACACAUUCGCCACUUUCGGACAGCACGCUUCUAUGAGGCUUCCUAGAUGCACGUGUGAAGGGGACUGCCACUUGCCGGAUAUGGAUGGCACGAAUGACAGUGAAGGAAGUGGGUCCUGGCAGUGCUUCCGGGCUGGUGGAUCACACUGCCCAGGAGGAACCUGCGUCUGAGACCAGUAAAUGCCUUAACCACGUAGUGUUCUCGUCAGGGAGCUUUCACAACUCCAUGCCCCCAUCCUUCUUGGGCAAACAUGCUGGCUACCUGGGACCAAGGUAGACGUAAAUAAAGGACCAAAACCCUCUAGACAAGGCCCUGCGGAGAGAAUGGUAGGCAAGCUUCCUGGCAAGUCUCCACGUUCAGCCUCAACUAAGGCUGCUGGAGGGCAAGGGGAUCUGUAGGGAGCCCUGGAUCGGAGGCAAUCACAUCAGAAGUAGAAGCAGACAUGUUCGAUCUCCAGAAGACCGCCCUCCGGGGCCAGAGUUAAUGCCCCUUGUGGAGGCCUGAGAGACUCAUAGCAUCAAAUGACCAGAACGAGGAGAACACAGACGGAAUGGUGAUAGCUGGCAAUUAGAACAUGGCACCAAACACCACUGCCACAGACGCUUUCUAGCUACAAAGCCACGCUAGGCAACCUUGAAGCAAAACAGUAUCGAUUUUGUGGUUGUAAAAAACGUACCUUCAACUGCAGAACUCAGUUUUAUGACACCUUGAAUAAAAACAAAAAGUGGCAGUUAUAUAAUGGACCCAAAUCUCCUAGUCUUCUCAACACACACACAUGCUUCAGACCUAGAGUUUUUGCCGGCAUGUUGAGAGUUUAACUGAACAAGUAACAACUUUGAAAACAAGGUCGUUUUCAGUCCUCGAUUAGACCUGAUGGUGUCUUCACUUCCUCCGCUGAAACCGUUUGGGGGAGUUUUUCACUAAAGAAGGGAUCUGACGUGUUUUUGGCCAAAACAAAGGCCAAGUCUGUGUGAAUGACUAUUUCUGUAUGUUAGUCACGCUGGAUAAUGAAUCGAUAAAACUUCAUCCAGCAGGACACCGAACCAGGAGCGUCUGGUCAAUGUUUAACGAGGGACUCUCCAGGGCGAAAAGUAUGCAUAUAAAUGUAUGUAUGUUUAUUACGGUUUUUACUGAUAGACAUGAUGUGUGAUACACAACCUACAAAUAAUAAUAAAAUCCACGGUGCUCUUUACUGCACAUUCCUUACAGCCACUUGAUUUUCACGGAAUGCUUUUGUUGAUUUUGGUCAAACUCUUGUAUUCAUAGCCAGCAAGUCAACUGUGAUUUGCACAGUUGCAAAUCAUUGCAAUUGCAAUCAUGCAUUGAAUGUCAUCCCAACCCCCUCUUUCCCUAAUAAAUGUAUUAUCAUUACACCUCCUGUGUGGUCUACUCUUCGACUAUUU